UUCCGGUUGAUCCUGCCGGACCCUACUGCUAUCGGGAUGGGACUAAGACAUGCUAGUCGAGCGCCUCCUAGCCACGCUGGAGGCGCGGCACACAGCUCAGUAACACGUGGCUAACCUGCCCUUGGGACGGAAACAUCCCCGGGAAACUGGGGCCAAUUUCCGAUAGGCGAAGGUCUCUGGAACGAGUCUUCACCCAAAAGACGUUUGGGGCAUGCUCCUAGACGUUGCCCAAGGAUGGGGCCGCGGCCGAUCAGGUUGUUGGUGAGGUAACGGCUCACCAAGCCUAUUACCGGUACGGCCGUGGGAGCGGUAGCCCGGAGAUGGGCACUGAGACAAGGGCCCAGGCCCUACGGGGCGCAGCAGUCGCGAAAACUUCGCAAUAAGCGAAAGCUUGACGAGGCCAUCCCGAGUGCCAUCUGCUGAGGAUGGCUUUUACCUAGUAUAGAUAGCUAGGGGAAUAAGGAGAGGGCAAGUCUGGUGUCAGCCGCCGCGGUAAUACCAGCUCUCCGAGUUGUGGGGACAUUUAUUGGGCCUAAAGCAUCCGUAGCCGGCUGAACAAGUCCCCUGUUAAAUCCAGCGACGAAUCGUUGGCCUGCGGGGGAUACUGUUCGGCUAGGGGGCGGGAGAGGCCGUCGGUAUUCUUGGGGUAGGGGUGAAAUCCUAUAAUCCCAGGAGGACCACCAGUGGCGAAGGCUGUCGGCUAGAACGCGCCCGACGGUGAGGGAUGAAAGCUGGGGGAGCGAACCGGAUUAGAUACCCGGGUAGUCCCAGCUGUAAACGAUGCAGGCUAGGUGUUAGGGCGGCUACGUGCCGCUCUAGUGCCGCAGGGAAGCUGUUAACCUGCCGCCUGGGGAGUACGGCCGCAAGCUGAAACUUAAAGGAAUUGGCGGG
rnacentral:rRNA from 1 species